GUGCAGCCGCCGCGGUAAUACGGAGGGUGCAAGCGUUGUCCGGAUUUAUUGGGUUUAAAGGGUGCGUAGGCGGUUUUAUAAGUCAGUGGUGAAAGACGGCAGCUCAACUGUCGCAGUGCCAUUGAUACUGUAGAACUUGAGUAUAGUUGAGGUAGGCGGAAUUUAUGGUGUAGCGGUGAAAUGCAUAGAUACCAUAAGGAACCCCGAUAGCGUAGGCAGCUUACUAAACUAUAACUGACGCUGAGGCACGAAAGCAUGGGUAGCGAACAGGAUUAGAAACCCGUGUAGUCC
rnacentral:rRNA from 1 species